AUUGAACGCUGGCGGCAUGCCUUACACAUGCAAGUCGAACGGCAGCACGGGAGCUUGCUCCUGGUGGCGAGUGGCGAACGGGUGAGUAAAGCAUCGGAACGUGCCCUGAAGUGGGGGAUAACGUAGCGAAAGUUACGCUAAUACCGCAUAUUCUGUGAGCAGGAAAGCAGGGGAUCUUCGGACCUUGUGCUUUAGGAGCGGCCGAUGUCGGAUUAGCUAGUUGGUGAGGUAAAGGCUCACCAAGGCGACGAUCCGUAGCGGGUCUGAGAGGAUGAUCCGCCACACUGGGACUGAGACACGGCCCAGACUCCUACGGGAGGCAGCAGUGGGGAAUUUUGGACAAUGGGCGCAAGCCUGAUCCAGCCAUGCCGCGUGAGUGAAGAAGGCCU
rnacentral:rRNA from 1 species